GCAGACAGGGAAAUGCAGCAGACUGGGUAGCUGGAGCUUUGGACCCACACCCCCAAGGCAGAGGUUCUGAUGAGGACAUCCAACAAAGAUAUAGAUGCCCAGGUAGACGGAGGGAACAACCUGUCUUGGUUUGCCCCAAACUGUUUCAGUGUCCCAGGAAAACCCCGCCGUUCCAGGUACACAGCAGUAGAUGUACACCCUACCAGUGCGUGUCCUCAUGGAAUUCUAGACCUAGAAGGGAACGUGGUGACUAAUGCAAUUCUCAGUCUACCUGAAAUUUAAGUAACAAGUUCGUAUUAGCUUCAAUUUGUUUUAUACGUAAAAGGGAAAGGGGUGUGUGUGUGUGUGUGUGUGUUCAAGAAAGAGAGAGAGAGAGAG